AUUAUACUGAAUCACUUCAUCCUAAACGGUUCCCUCUCAUAUGUUGCAUUGGAGAAGCAAACUAAGUUUUGUUGAAUCACUUUAUUAAUUCCAGUGGUUUUCAGUCCUGGUCCUGGGGACCCACUGCUCCACACAUUUUGUGUGUCUCCCUUAUUUAACACACCUGAUUCAGAUCAUCAGCUCAUUAGGAGAGAGAUCCAUGAACUGAACUAAAAGAAACGUUUUGAUUGUUUAAAAUGUGAAGACAGAUUAUACAGAGGACUCGUCUGGUUCUCGUGGUCUUGUGCCGAUGGCUGUCUAGUUGACGAGGUCUUCACAGGGGAUCUGUUUCCAGGGACUGCAGUGAGGACAGUGUCACUCUGACUGAUGGCGGGAGCUCUGAGACGGGCUGUGUUGGAGGUAGUGGAGCGUGUAUUGAACGCUAACUCACUCUCCACGAUUUCCUCUUUCUUCACAUCCCUGUACAGUUCUCCUGGGCCAGCCUGUCUCCUUUAGUGUGACCUUGUGACCAGCGCUGUGGUGGGCUCACUGUGACACUUCCAUGCUGCUGGGUGUCAACAGUGAUGAUGGUUGGCCUUCAGUCCCAGAUGGCUCCCAUAUGGUUGAACACACCUUCAGUGUCUGUGAUUGAUCCCUUCCCCGCUAAACACCCUCGCGGACACCCUUCUCAGCUCCACUUCACUCUGAUAUGGCACAAGAAGAGGAGUUUUUAAAUAAUAGAGGGAUACAGAUGUCUGAGGGUUUCCAUUUGGCUUGGAUUCAUUGUCUGUCCAAUAGACUUUGAUGGGUCUUACUAUGUUAAGAGGGCAACACUCGAGCAGCAAUUCCCAGACACUCUAGUCUCCAGCGCUUCCUGGAUUUCACUUCUCCGCUGCUCUGUCGAUAGCAUGACACCGCAGAAACUCAGUUUAAAAUCUUUGAGUUCAGUGCAAGUUUAUUUUGACACAGUACAUCUAAUUCUCUUUGCAGUUUCCACUUUUCUCUCUGGUUGAGUUAAAGAAACAGUGCAAACAAAAAUGAACAUUUUAAAAUAUGUCAUUCCAAACAUUCUGUUGAAGAUCUCUGACCUCUUUUCCGUACUUUCCAGAAGCACACUAUUGAGAUGGACUGCUUUUAUGGUGCAUUUUUGGUGUUUUUGAGACUAUGAAAAGAGAUGCGUGAAGAUCCUCCAUUUGUAUCAGUUAUGGUAUUAAUUUUUGCCCAUUCCAUUAUCUUGAGUUUUCUGAGCAAGUUGAUAGAUGCUUUUUUUGUGUGUGUGCGUUAAAUCACAUUAGCACUUCUUUAUUCACCUCCUUCUGUGAAACAAGAUCUUUUAAAAAAAAAAAAAAAAAAAAAAAAACCCACCAAAACAGAAACAAACCUGUUUUCAAUACUUUUAAGCAUAGGAGCCAUGCUUCUUUGGUUUAUUUGUAACAUUUUUGCAUGCUUUUUGAGCUUGAUGUGGUCACUUUAAAUUGUUGUCAUGUGGAAAAAAUAUGCAUGUAACUUCUCAUGACGCAGCAUGAGGGAAAGUAAAUGACAAAAUAUUCAUUUUUGGCUGUAUUCGUUUAUCUUGAGUCUUCUGAGGAAGCCCAGAGUUGCUUUGUGUAAAUAAAUACACGUGUUGCAUAGUCUAAAGUUUAAUAUUAUGGUGGAAAUUUAGUAUUUGUGCUUUAAAUCAUGCAAACACUUGCAAACUCAUAAGGAGAUCUUGGUUAAAAAGAAAUUUGACCUGUUUUCAUAACUUUAUAGCAUAAGAGUCAAAUAGACUGCUGUUUUGGGGUCAUUUAUGGUGUCUUUUUUUUUCUUUUUUAUUUAAACUUGGUACCCAUGAGUUAUUGUCAUGUUGAAGAGAGCUGCUUGCAGUUUAUUCUUUUGUACCCACAGAAUAAAGAACAACAUGGAUUUGGCACAACAUGAUUAUUUUUGUCGUCACUCACCCUCAUUUUUGGCCGUAUUCAUUAUAUUGUAAUUCUUCUGAAGAAGUUCAGAGAUGCUUAAUGUGAAUAAUUGCAAGUGUUGAUUAGUCUCAAGUUUAAUAUACUCUACUGAGAUAAAUUUGUGUUUUUGCGCUUUUAAAUCAUGCAAACACUUUAGUCAUGUAAAUUGACUUUUUGGUUUGGUUUGGUAGUUUGUGUGUGUGUGUGUGUGUGUGUGCUUUCUGAGUUUUGCUAUGAAUUGUUAUCAUGUUGAAAAGAGCUGCAUGAAGUUUCUCCUUUUAUAUCCACACACUAAAGAAUGUCAUGGAUUUGGCACGACAUGAGAGCAAUGUUCCUUUUAUUGUUAUUCUUCUGAAGAAGUA
ensembl:lncRNA